rnacentral:rRNA from 1 species
UACACUCCUACGGGAGGCAGCAGUGGGGAAUUUUGGACAAUGGGCGAAAGCCUGAUCCAGCAAUGCCGCGUGUGUGAAGAAGGCCUUCGGGUUGUAAAGCACUUUUGUCCGGAAAGAAAUCCUUGGCUCUAAUACAGUCGGGGGAUGACGGUACCGGAAGAAUAAGCACCGGCUAACUACGUGCCAGCAGCCGCGGUAAUACGUAGGGUGCGAGCGUUAAUCGGAAUUACUGGGCGUAAAGCGUGCGCAGGCGGUUUGCUAAGACCGAUGUGAAAUCCCCGGGCUCAACCUGGGAACUGCAUUGGUGACUGGCAGGCUAGAGUAUGGCAGAGGGGGGUAGAAUUCCACGUGUAGCAGUGAAAUGCGUAGAGAUGUGGAGGAAUACCGAUGGCGAAGGCAGCCCCCUGGGCCAAUACUGACGCUCAUGCACGAAAGCGUGGGGAGCAAACAGGAUUAGAUACCCGAGUAGUCCC